rnacentral:tRNA from 1 species
GCCCAGGUAGCUCAGUAGGUAGAGCGCUGCGCUGUUAACGCAGUGGUCGCAGGUUCGAGCCCUGCCCUGGGCG